UACGGAGGGUGCAAGCGUUAAUCGGAAUUACUGGGCGUAAGCGCGCGUAGGUGGUUUGAUAAGCGAGAUGUGAAAGCCCCGGGCUUAACCUGGGAACGGCAUUUCGAACUGUCAGGCUAGAGUAUGGUAGAGGAGUGUGGAAUUCUCGUGUGUGCGGUGAAAUGCGUAGAUAUAGGAAGGAACACCAGUGGCGAAGGGCGGCACUCUGGACCAAUACUGACACUGAGGUGCGAAAGCGUGGGGAG
rnacentral:rRNA from 1 species